AUGCUGGACGGCCUGAAGAUGGAGGAGAACUUCCAAAGCGCCAUCGAAACGUCGGCCUCCUUCUCCUCGCUGCUGGGCAGAGCGGUGAGCCCGAAGUCUGUCUGCGAGGGCUGUCAGCGGGUCAUCUCGGAUAGGUUUCUGCUGCGGCUCAACGACAGCUUCUGGCAUGAGCAGUGCGUGCAAUGCGCCUCCUGCAAAGAGCCCUUGGAGACGACGUGCUUCUACCGGGACAAGAAGCUCUACUGCAAGUUUGACUACGAGAAGCUGUUUGCUGUCAAAUGUGGGGGCUGCUUUGAGGCCAUCGCACCCAACGAGUUUGUCAUGCGGGCCCAGAAGAGCGUGUACCACCUGGGCUGCUUCUGCUGCUGUGUCUGCGAGCGGCAGCUCCAGAAGGGCGAUGAGUUUGUGCUGAAGGAGGGGCAGCUGCUCUGCAAAGGGGACUAUGAGAAGGAGCGGGAGCUGCUCAGCCUGGUGAGCCCAGCAGCGUCAGACUCAGGGAAAAGUGAUGAUGAGGAAAGUCUUUGCAAGUCAGCCCACGGGGCAGGGAAAGGAGCCUCUGAGGACAGCAAGGACCAUAAGCGCCCCAAACGUCCCAGAACCAUCCUGACAACCCAACAGAGGAGAGCAUUCAAGGCCUCGUUUGAAGUAUCCUCCAAGCCGUGCAGGAAGGUGAGGGAGACCCUGGCUGCAGAGACAGGGCUGAGCGUCCGUGUGGUUCAGGUGUGGUUCCAGAACCAGAGAGCUAAGAUGAAGAAGCUGGCCCGGCGGCAGCAGCAGCAGCAGCAAGAUCAGCAGAACACCCAGAGGCUGAGUUCCGCUCAGACAAAUAGUGGUGGGAAUGCUGGCAUGGAAGGGAUCAUGAACCCCUACACGGCUCUGCCCACCCCACAGCAGCUCCUGGCCAUCGAGCAGAGUGUCUACAGCUCAGAUCCCUUCCGACAGGGGCUCACCCCACCCCAGAUGCCUGGAGACCACAUGCACCCCUAUGGUGCUGAGCCCCUCUUCCACGAGCUGGAUAGUGAGGACACCUCCCUCAGUAACCUGGGUGACUGUUUCCUAGCAACCUCAGAAGCCGGGCCCCUGCAGUCCAGAGUGGGAAACCCCAUUGAUCAUCUGUACUCCAUGCAGAAUUCUUACUUCACCUCUUGAGUCCUCCCCUUGAAUUCUGUGGCUCAGCUCCCAUUCUGGAACAACUGUAUUACUUGGCUGACCCGUGGUCCAGAUGCUCUUGGAGCUCAUAGCUCGCAGCCUCUUGGAGCUCAUAGAGGCAAAGGAGGUCCUGGUGGAAACCCAGGGCUCCUCCUCCUGGCUCUCUUUCCUGUUGCUGAGCACGGAGGACCCAGCUGCCAUUGUACACAGGGACAGUUCCACACCCUGUCCAUCACUGUGGUGCUAAGAUGGGAUCCUUCUGUGUUAGGAGGCCUCCUGAGAAACCAGAACAAGUUGAUGGGGAAGACGGAGGACUCCUCCGAGAGGGGCCGGGACAGGCUUGGCCUCACUCCUAGGGAUGUCACCCGUCAUCAGAGCUUUGGUCACCGCUGCUUGUCCCCAUCACUGUCUGCAAGGCCAGAGGGAACACAGCUCCCUAUGAUAGAGUCACUGUUGUAUGAUUUUUGUGCUCUUUUUUUAUAAUUUAUGCAAACCACCGAGAAACCUAAACCAGUCUGCUGAGUGAAAAUCAUGCAGACACGCUAUGACUACACAGGCGACUAUGGUGAAGAUCAGUUAGAGAAAAGUAGUGGAUACUGUGUGAGUGAAGAUGAAUAGAGAUCCUUAUUCCACUCCUUAAUGGCAUACCAAGAUCGAAUUAAAGACCUCUUACAAAUGA